CUAAUUUUGACUUUGCAGUUUUCCUUUCAUAUUUUGAAGCCAGUAAUUUUUUUUCUCUAGUCUUAUAAAUGUUUACGUGAGUACGAAGACCUCCUAGGACCUAGCACUUUAAGGACUUCACACUACUGCCUCUCCCAGUCUUGCCAUGAGAGUCCUCGAUGGGUACACAGCAGCAUUGAUAUCAGAAGCCAAACUAAAGGUGGUGGUUUGGAGCACCCACUGAGCCAGGCCCCUGUCCUAAGCAUUUUGCAUCUGUUAAUUCACUGACUCCUAUAAGGAGGAAGCCUCACGACUGUUCAGCCAAGAAGGAAAGAGGAGACUAAGAUGGACCCAACAUCUAGAGAAGAGAAGGUGGAAGCAGAGGCAGAAGUGAGAAGUGGGAAGCAGCAAGUGGGAAGGGAAGCCCAGCUUUCCAGUUCUGGCAGUGCAGAGCACUAGAACAGUAGACGGAGCUUUUACAAAUGAAACGCCUGAACCUUACCGUAGCCAAUCAAAUUGGAAUUUCUGGGAGUAGAGCUGGGUACGAGUGUUUUUGGAAACACCCCGGAUGAGUGUGAUGUUCCACGAAGGUCAAGAACCACCAUUUAAGAGCAGUGGUUCUCAAACUUUGGCGUGCCUCUGAACCCCCUGAAGAGUUUGGUAAAUACAGGACGCCAGACCCCACCUGCAGAGUCUCCCACCCAGCAGGUCUGAAUGGGGCCUAUAUUCAUUUCCUGUGGCUGCUGUAACAAAUCACCACAAACUCGGUGGCUUAACCAACAGAAAUCUAUUCUCUUACAAUUCUGGAGGUAUGAAAUUAAAAAUGAGUCUCACUGGGCUACCAUCAAGGUGUUGGCUGUGUUCCUUCUAGAGGCUCAGGGAGAAUCUGUUUCCUUGCUUGCCCCCUCUUCUAGAGGCCACCUGCACUUAAAAGCUUUUUCCCACUUUGGUGUCUUGAUUCUUUUUUUUUUUUUUUUGAGACAGAGUCUUACUCUGUCACCUAGGCUGGAGUGUAGUGGUGCAAUCUCAGCUCACUAUAACCUCUGCCUCCCAGGUUCAAGC
rnacentral:lncRNA from 10 species